rnacentral:tRNA from 1 species
GGGCAUUUGGUCUAGUGGUAUGAUUCUCGCUUUGGGAGGUCCCGAGUUCGAUUCUCGGAAUGCCCC